UACAGAGGUCUCGAGCGUUGUUCGGAUUCAUUGGGCGUAAAGGGCGCGUAGGCGGCGGGGUAAGUCUGGUGUGAAAUCUCGGAGCUCAACUCCGAAAUUGCACUGGAUACUGUUCUGCUAGAGGGCUGGAGAGGAGAUCGGAAUUCACGGUGUAGCAGUGAAAUGCGUAGAUAUCGUGAGGAAGACCAGUGGCGAAGGCGGAUCUCUGGACAGCUCCUGACGCUGAGGCGCGAAGGCUAGGGGAGCAAACGGG
rnacentral:rRNA from 1 species